GUGAGGAAUUUUCCGCAAUGGGCGAAAGCCUGACGGAGCAAUGCCGCGUGAAGGAUGAAGGCCUAUGGGUUGUAAACUUCUUUUCUCAGAAAAGAAUUAUGACGGUAUCUGAGGAAUAAGCAUCGACUAACUCUGUGCCAGCAGCCGCGGUAAGACAGAGGAUGCAAGCGUUAUCCGGAAUGAUUGGGCGUAAAGCGUCUGUAGGUUGUUUAAAAAGUAUUCUGUCAAAGAUUAGGGCUUAACCCUAGAUAGGCAGAAUAAACUUUUAAGCUAGAGUUUGGUAGAGGCAGAGGGAAUUCCCGGUGGAGCGGUGAAAUGCGUAGAUAUCGGGAGGAACACCAAAGGCGAAGGCACUCUGCUGGGCCAAUACUAACACUGAGAGACGAAAGCGAGGGGAGCAAAUGGGAUUAGAAACCCGAGUAGUCC
rnacentral:rRNA from 1 species